GUCUACGGCCAUGCCACCCUGAACAAGCCCGAUCCCAUCUGAUCUCAGAAGCUAAGCAGGGUCAGGUCUGGUUAGUACCUGGUUAGUAUUUCCUAGGUGGGAGACCACCUAGGAAGACCAGGUGCUGUAGGCA
rnacentral:rRNA from 1 species